CACUGACUUCACUAAGUUGAAUGAAGACUGGAAAGUGUACAUGGAAAGCAAUUUGCACCAAGGAACAAGAUUUUCCACCUGCAAGUGAAGAAAACCCAAGAAGCUCAUCCGUCCCUGACACAGGAAACACACCAUGGG